rnacentral:rRNA from 1 species
GAUGAACGCUGGCGGCGUGCCUAAUACAUGCAAGUCGAGCGAACAGAUGAGGAGCUUGCUCCUCUGACGUUAGCGGCGGACGGGUGAGUAACACGUGGAUAACCUACCUAUAAGACUGGGAUAACUUCGGGAAACCGGAGCUAAUACCGGAUAAUAUAUUGAACCGCAUGGUUCAAUAGUGAAAGACGGUUUUGCUGUCACUUAUAGAUGGAUCCGCGCCGCAUUAGCUAGUUGGUAAGGUAACGGCUUACCAAGGCAACGAUGCGUAGCCGACCUGAGAGGGUGAUCGGCCACACUGGAACUGAGACACGGUCCAGACUCCCACGGGAGGCAGCAGUAGGGAAUCUUCCGCAAUGGGCGAAAGCCUGACGGAGCAACGCCGCGUGAGUGAUGAAGGUCUUCGGAUCGUAAAACUCUGUUAUUAGGGAAGAACAAAUGUGUAAGUAACUAUGCACGUCUUGACGGUACCUAAUCAGAAAACCACGGCUAACUACGU